rnacentral:rRNA from 1 species
CGAGGAUCUUCGGCAGUGGGCGCAAGCCUGACCGAGCGACGCCGCGUGUGCGAUGAAGGCCUUCGGGUUGUAAAGCACUGUCGAGGGGGAGGAAGCCGAAAGGUUGACCUAUCCCUGGAGGAAGCACGGGCUAAGUUCGUGCCAGCAGCCGCGGUAAGACGAACCGUGCAAACGUUGUUCGGAAUCACUGGGCUUAAAGGGCGCGUAGGCGGGCCAGCCAGUCUGUGGUGAAAGCCUCCAGCUUAACUGGAGAAGUGCCGUGGAUACUGCUGGCCUCGAGGAGGAUAGGGGCACCUGGAACGGUCGGUGGAGCGGUGAAAUGCGUUGAUAUCGACCGGAACUCCGGUGGCGAAGGCGAGGUGCUGGGUCCUUUCUGACGCUGAUGCGCGAAAGCCAGGGGAGCAAAC